GCAACCUCUCGCCGGCAGCUGCUCCGCGCGGAGUGGGAGACGGAGCCGGAGCCUGAGUGCGAGACGGGCUGAGACGGCUGUGAGGCGGCCCCGCCCCGGGGCUCCAUUGUUGCGGCGACUCCGGCUCUGCGGGCUGCUCGGCUCCGUCUCGCUCGGCCAGGGCACCUCCGGCAAGGAGUGAGCGCUGCCCGGGAGGCGGCCUGAGCGCAGAAAAAGGUGCCAUCUCUGCGCCAUUAAUUUCUACGAGUCCUGCGUUUAGUUUUGGACGUGCGGCAGAUUUGGGCAGCCUGGGCUGUGAGAGAGGAGCCUGCAUCUCCCGCCAGCGGGCCUCCCGUCAGGCGCGGCGCAGAGGAGUGUCACCAGACGGGGUCCCCGAGCCUCCAGCUGCACAAAGACGGCUGCCACCAGCGCCGAGAGACGUUUCACCUGAAAAGACAAGACCCAGGAUAUUUCGUGUGUCCCCCGAAUGGGAUAACCUCCCGGAACGGAAGGGUUUCUACUGAUUCCCACCCUGCCUCCUUCCCGAGACCGGACCAUCCUUCAUAGCACAGCAGGAGGCAUUUCUGAGGCCCCUGAAAUACUGGCCAUCUGUCAGCAUCCAUUGGGCCUUAGGGAGGGUGGCCAGCAUCACAGGCCCUGUCGGACUGGGGCUGGCGUUCCGGCUCUGCCACCCAGUCACCAACAGGGUGGAAUCUUGGGCUUGUCCCUUAACCUUCCAUGAGCCGCUUCCAUAGGAGGGCAGUGCAGUACCUGUCGCCAGAGGAAAAGGCCAGGAUGGCCGGGCUGCCUCUCUGAGGGAAGCAGUGGACGUCGUGGGGGGGCGUCGGUGAGCACUGAAUGGAACGAGGCAGACUGGCCCUGUCGAUAGUAGUUACAGCCUUUCCUCGUGAGGAAGCUGAUGAGGGGUUCUCCUGGCCAGGCCACCUCGAGGCAGGAGCCGGUGAAAGAGCUUAGAAGAAGGUGACUUUGGGGAGAGCCUGUGGAGGAACGAAGGGGGUUUGUUACUAUAAAUAGGUGAAGGUUGGGCUCUUCACUAGCAGCCAGAUGCCUGCUUUAUCUCGGGACUCCCUGAGUCGUGCACAGCAGAGCUGGGGGACUGUGUCACAGCGGGAUUGGUGGCAAUUUCAGUUGAGCUAAAGCUGCCGGUCGAAAAAUGCAUCAGUAUGACGUGAGAAAGCUUGGACUGCAAAGCAGAGCUGAGUCCACGUUCUGGGUCUGGAACUUGAACUGUGACUUCGUAGGUAAAGGGAGGUCCACAGAGCCCAAACGUUUUGUAUCAUGACAGCAAGAAAGGGCUUACUUACUUGUGGGACCUUCCCGGACCAGAGCUCAAACCCGUGUCCCCUGCAUUGGCAGGCGAAUUCUUAACCACCGCGCCCCCAGGGAAGCCCCUAGAGCAGCCCUAUUACUGUGACUGUUUUACAGUGAGGAAACUGAGGCACAGAGAGGUUGGGGGCCUUGUCCAACAUCACACAGCCAGGAAGUGUUGGAGUUGGGGUGUGAGCCCAGGCAGCCUGGCUCCAGAGCUCCGAGCGAUCAUUCUAGAUUGCCCAUGGAAACCUCAUGCUCGCAAACCUUGCCUCCAGCGAGAGUCCACGUGAUAUUUGUCAAAGUGGUGUGUCUACCUGAGGUUUCUUUACCUCUUUAAGCCUGAACCUAAAUCUUGGAAUGGUUCUUAACACUGGCUGGGACCCCUUGAGGACUGAACAGAGGUACUCUUCAGGUUAGUCUAGCUGGUUGGAAGGUGGAGGGAGAAGGGGUAAGAUUGCCAGAGAAAAAAAGGCCAAGGUGGCUGGGCUCACUCCUCUGACGGAGAGGCCCUGGAGCAGCCUCAUGACCUGGACCACUUGGACAGAAGAGGAAGAAGGAUACCUUUACCCGUGAUGGGUGACCUUGACUGCACGAGCAACCUGUGUGCUGCUCCUUUUCCUGGAGCAGAUGAUACGAGGUGCCAAUAAACCCAACUUCUGACCCUGCCAGGGCAGGGCAGGUAUUUGUCCAGCCCCCUGUGAACAUAAGUAAUGUUCUCACCUCACAGCCAGCCCAGUGUUCCAGAACCGCUUUCUUUUUUUCUUUGGACAAAAGUUCAGUUUGCCUAAUAGGUCCCUUUCUGCUUAUAACAGUGUCAUAGAUUAAAGUUUUGUUUUUGGUUCUGAAGUGGAUUUAGAGUUAAUAAAGUCUGCUAAAAAUACAA